rnacentral:lncRNA from 1 species
GCAUGCAGUGUUUUCUGUGGAGUGGGCUAUACUGAAAUUGUCAGCGUGAGGAGUAACUCACCUCUGAUCCUUCUGACACUGCUCCAGCAAUCUGUCCUCUGCUGGCCCAGCACCACAGCUCCCAGUGGGCUCUUAAACAUUCUCUUAAAGCCAUCAGCAAAGGCCAGGGGACAGACAGAAAGGCUGGGUUGAAAGCAAGUGAAGCAUCUGUCAGACGAGGCCUGCAGCUCCACUGAGGUCUACAGAAUACCUUGUGAUGAUUAGGUCUUGUUAAAUCCAUUUAACAUAGAAGAUGACACAUUGGAAAGCUGAAUACCUUGCCCAAGCUUCUGCCACUUCCACUGCCUUAAAUUUUUUUUACCAAGCUUGGUGCAUCCAGCAUGGGCAGAAAAAGAAGAAGAAGAAGAAAGAAGAAGAAGAAGAAAAAAGAAGAAAGAAGAAGAUGAAGAAGAAGAAGAUGAUGAAGAUGAAGAAGAAGAAGAAGAAUUACUCCUUAUCCCCAGCCAGAUUAGCAGCCACUCAAGCACAGAGUUUUAGAGGAAUAUGCUACGUGAGAAAAGAGAGAAAUUGCAAGGUGGUGAGAGGGCAAGAAUGGAGAAGAGCUUAAUUAAAUUAACUGAGGGAAUAUUUACACUUCCCAUUUCUGAGAUUCGCAAUUCUGUAGAACAGUCUCCCAGAGGAAGUCAUGAAAACCUCAUCACUGAGCCAUUUUAAAUGAGUUGGAACAGCUCUACAGUGAACACUGUGGGGGCUGUGGACUGGCUCAUGGCUCCUCUCUCUGUCUCUCUUUAUAACUAAUGAAGCACACUCCCCUUAAAUCUCCAUAGCACAAACCAUGGGAUAAUCCAUAUCAACUCAUGAAUGUAUUUCACUUGCAAAAUGUGAAUAGAUACUUAUGCAAAUAAAUGGAUCAGAUUACCAACA